rnacentral:rRNA from 1 species
UACAGAGGGUGCGAGCGUUAAUCGGAUUUACUGGGCGUAAAGCGUACGUAGGCGGCUUUUUAAGUCGGAUGUGAAAUCCCUGAGCUUAACUUAGGAAUUGCAUUCGAUACUGGGAAGCUAGAGUAUGGGAGAGGAUGGUAGAAUUCCAGGUGUAGCGGUGAAAUGCGUAGAGAUCUGGAGGAAUACCGAUGGCGAAGGCAGCCAUCUGGCCUAAUACUGACGCUGAGGUACGAAAGCAUUGGGGAGCAAACAGG